GGUGUAGGUCUUGGAAGAAAAAGGGUUCUUGGACCAAGAGCGUUAUUCCCAUAUGUGCUGGUCUUCUAGUAAAUGUUUGUCAUGAACGUUGCCUGUGCGUUCUUCUUCGCCCUGUUCGAACCCAGAGCGCUGCAUGCCACAGUAUCAUCCCACUUGAUGUGAACGUUACUGGAAUCACUCAUCAGAAUUUCUGUUUGUAUUCCAGUGCAUCAUAUUGUGACGGACAAUCCAUUCCCGCCGACACCGAUGACAGUUUCCGAAGUUCCUAUAUUAACGAGCCACCCGAUCCACCCAGCCCUGCACUUCUUCCCUCCAAAACAAGAACCUGAGGCAAAUCUACCUACUCCUACUCCAAAGAAAGGUACAAAUUUUUAUGUGACCAUAUGGCUAUAAAUAAUUCCAUUCCAUUUUAAUGCAAUUUUAAAUGCACUUGCACCCACAAGUGAGUUACGAGGUUCCUAAUAUAACGAGGCCCCGUGUUUCAGAGCCCGAGGCGUCUGAAGAGGUGGCUCCACCAGCGCUGGGAAAGAAAGGUACCCAGUGACCGCGGGGCGCUGGCCUGCAUUCAUUGUCCCAUUUUCAGCCUCAUUUCGGAUAAGUACGUUGCGCUCCACCGGUCUGUGAUCUCUUCCCUCCUGCUGAAUAUUUCACAAGCAGGUUCACAACCAAGCUCUGGUGCUUUACUUUGAAUUUACGUGCUGAUGGGUCAGACAUUGGCCUUGUUAGAACUGACAUGCUCUGUGUGCACCACUCUACUGCUUAAAGAGAAGCUUCUCAUAUUAUAGUCUCUUUGAUUCAGAGCCCAGACCUUGCAAAGAGAAACCCGCACAAGCCCCUGUAAAGAAAGGAGCUAAGAUUCACAAAGAGAAGGCUAAAUAUCCCCCUGUAAAGAAAGAAGCUGUCGUUUCUAAGGAGAAGACAAAGCUGAUACUUCCAAGAAGAGCUGUCCAAGUUAAAGUUGAAAAGACCACAAAGCCACAUGAACCAGUGAAAGAAGUCAAAACUAAGGAGCAUAAAGGUGCAAAACCUGAAAAAGAAAGGCCUAAACCUUUGGUGAAAAAGGGUAAGGUUGAAUUUAUUUGUGCCUUAAUGUCCGAUAAUAAAGUUAAAUAAUUAAGAUUCAUAAUAGUCUCUGUACAGCGGGUUUUAUGUGUCCAGAUUUCCUUAGUGUUUACCACAGGGAGUUUUGCAUGCUAUACAUGACCUGAUUUCUUUACCCAG
rnacentral:lncRNA from 1 species